rfam:Paraburkholderia susongensis strain LMG 29540 genome assembly, contig: Ga0139082_102
ACGAGGGCGACCGGGUGUGGGGAGGAAGCGUGGAGCAUAAAUCGCGAGCCGAUGAACAAGAACCGUAUAGAAGGCACUGCCGGGCAGGGCGAGCGGGCAUGAAACCGCGAAGCUCUCGUGACCAAAGCGUCAAUCAAUGCCGUUUUUUUAUCCUGUGCGAGCAGGAAUAUGC